GACGAACGCUGGCGGCGUGCUUAACACAUGCAAGUCGAACGGAAAGGCCCUGCUUUUGUGGGGUGCUCGAGUGGCGAACGGGUGAGUAACACGUGAGUAACCUGCCCUUGACUUUGGGAUAACUUCAGGAAACUGGGGCUAAUACCGGAUAGGAGCUCCUGCUGCAUGGUGGGGGUUGGAAAGUUUCGGCGGUUGGGGAUGGACUCGCGGCUUAUCAGCUUGUUGGUGGGGUAGUGGCUUACCAAGGCUUUGACGGGUAGCCGGCCUGAGAGGGUGACCGGCGACAGUGGGACUGAGAUGCGGCCCAGACUCCUACGGGAGGCAGCAGUGGGGAAUAUUGCACAAUGGGCGGAAGCCUGAUGCAGCAACGCCGCGUGCGGGAUGACGGCCUUCGGGUUGUAAACCGCUUUCGCCUGUGACGAAGCGUGAGUGACGGUAAUGGGUAAAGAAGCACCGGCUAACUACGUG
rnacentral:rRNA from 1 species